UGUGUAGGCGGUUGUUUAAGUUUGGUGUGAAAUCUCCCGGCUCAACUGGGAGGGUGCGCCGAAUACUGAAUGACUAGAGUGCGGGAGAGGAAAGUGGAAUUCCUGGUGUAGCGGUGAAAUGCGUAGAUAUCAGGAGGAACACCGGUGGUGUAGACGGCUUUCUGGACCGUAACUGACGCUGAUACACGAAAGCGUGGGUAGCAAACA
rnacentral:rRNA from 1 species